rnacentral:misc_RNA from 1 species
AGUUUGAUUAUGGCUCAGAUUGAACGCUGGCGGGAUGCUUUACAUACAAAGUCGAACGGCAGCACGGACUUCGGUCUGGUGGCGAGUGGCGAACGGGUGAGUAAUGUAUCGGAACGUGCCUAGUAGCGGGGGAUAACUACGCGAAAGCGUAGCUAAUACAAAUCGCUACGCCCUUCGGGGGAAAGCGGGGCCUUCGGGCCUCGCACUAUUAGAAGCGGCCGAUAUCGGAUUAGCUAGUUGGUGGGAGUAACGGCUCACCAAGGCGACGAUCAACUGGUUUGAGAGGACGACCAGCCACUGGGACUGAGACACGGCCCAGACUCCUACGGGAGGCAGCAGUGGGGGAAUUUUGGACAAUGGGGGAAACCCUGAUCCAGCCAUCCCGCGUGUGCGAUGAAGGCCUUCGGGUU